UUCGGGUAUUUACGGUCCCGCGGGCUGAAGAAAUACCAUUCUAGGUCUUUGCUUGGCAACAACGACUUUCCUGUUUUUCAUCCAUCAUCACUUUUAUUACUUACUAUCAUUUUAUAUAUACAAAAAAUGUUUAUAUUUGUUUCAGAUAUCCUCUUCUGGGAUGGCUCUCAGUCUCCUAGUUGUUGCUGUCGCAUUCUUUCUUAAGGUAGAAAUAAUAAUAUUUUAUGUAUAGUUAGCGAACUGGUUUUACAAACCUUGUAAUAUUCUCCUGAUAUUUGCAAUCCAUGCAUAUUCAAGGGUGCCGUAGCACAUGAUUCUUCACUAUAUGGCUUAUUGGGGAUCCUCUCAGUUGUCGGUGUUGUGGUAUGCUUUCUUCUCGAACUUCCAAGGUUUUCUGUGUUGGUGUUGUGUAGUUUUCAGCUUGUUGACAUAUUAUCUCUACUAAAAUGAUUGAAUUAGUGUAUAUGUGAGAUCGAACAUUUUUUAUUCAUCAGUCAAAGUAAAAAUGCACUUGGUAACUUGAUUAUGUGUAUUUUAAAGUUUCGAAGAGGGUAAUAUACUAAUAUUGAACUGUGCAAAUUGCAAUAAGACAAGAUAUUCAGUCCUCCGUAGAUAUAUUACCGACAUUUUUUACCGACUCAUUAAACUGCUUUAUGGUUAAAAUAAUGCAUUCGAAAUGAAUAUAUUACCUAAGUGCUUCUUGUUAUGUGUAUUACAUAAUAUGAUAUUCAAGAUUUCUGUUUUUCAUUCUUCACUUGGACCUUUGUGCCUUUAUUGUAAGAAGUUUAUUGUUGAUUGAAUCGAAAUCAAGGUUAAUUUUUUAGAAAUGUGUUGCUUGGACAGGUGCAGGGGAAAAGGAGUAAAUGCUUUAUAGCUUCUUGAAGUAAUACCUUGUGUGAUCCAUGAGGUUUGUCAAAUAAUCCAUAAAAUUUAUAUCUCUCUAUUGUAAUAUCUAAAUAAUGUAUAUAACUCUUUAAACUACUUUGCUUUGUAGAUUGACAAGUGAAAGGACAAUAUUGGUUAUGAAGACCUCUAUUAGUUUUGGAUAUGAUGUUCCAACGGCUACUAUUUUGAACAUUUUUUGUUUGUAUUAGUUUAGGAUGAAUUUAAACAUUAAUCCAAACUUGUAGGAUAUUGUAUUAUAUAAUAUGGAUGUA
rnacentral:lncRNA from 1 species